GCAGCUUCUUCGGUCUUUUCUUCCGCCCCACCAAUUUAGUUGAGCCAUUCCCAUUUGACAAAGGAACCAGCUUUCCAAAUUUUAGAUCUUCACCUGAAAUCAUGUAUAAAUUUCAAAUUUCCAGAUUCUGGCACAGUAAAAUCAGCAGGAUUUCUGUUCACACUGCAGACUCCAGUCUCAGAACUGCUUUUAUUGGGGUGAACAGGUUGAGUGCCACUAGGGG
rnacentral:misc_RNA from 1 species